CCUACGGGAUGCAGCAGUGGGGGAUAUUGCACAAUGGGGGAAACCCUGAUGCAGCGACGCCGCGUGGGUGAAGAAGCGCCUCGGCGCGUAAAGCUCUGUCAGCAGGGAAGAAAAUGACGGUACCUGAAGAAGAAGCCCCGGCUAACUACGUGCCAGCAGCCGCGGUAAUACGUAGGGGGCAAGCGUUAUCCGGAUUUACUGGGUGUAAAGGGGGCGCAGACGGGGCUGCAAGCCAGGAGUGAAAGCCCGGGGCCCAACCCCGGGACUGCUCUUGGAACUGCGUGGCUAGAGUGCAGGAGGGGCAGGCGGAAUUCCUGGUGUAGCGGUGAAAUGCGUAGAUAUCAGGAGGAACACCGGUGGCGAAGGCGGCCUGCUGGACUGCAACUGACGUUGAGGCCCGAAAGCGUGGGGAGCAAACAGGAUUAGAUACCCCUGUAGUC
rnacentral:rRNA from 1 species